rnacentral:rRNA from 1 species
UGGGGAAUAUUGGACAAUGGGCGCAAGCCUGAUCCAGCCAUGCCGCGUGAGUGAUGAAGGCCUUAGGGUUGUAAAGCUCUUUCAGCGAGGAGGAUAAUGACGUUACUCGCAGAAGAAGCCCCGGCUAACUUCGUGCC